GACGAACGCUGGCGGCGUGCUUAACACAUGCAAGUCGAACGGUAAGGCCCUUCGGGGUACACGAGUGGCGAACGGGUGAGUCACACGUGGGUAAUCUGCCCUGCACAUCGGGAUAAGCCUGGGAAACUGGGUCUAAUACCGAAUAGGACCACAGGACACAUGUCCUGUGGUGGAAAGCUUUUGCGGUGUGGGAUGGGCCCGCGGCCUAUCAGCUUGUUGGUGGGGUGAUGGCCUACCAAGGCGACGACGGGUAGCCGGCCUGAGAGGGUGUCCGGCCACACUGGGACUGAGAUACGGCCCAGACUCCUACGGGAGGCAGCAGUGGGGAAUAUUGCACAAUGGGCGAAAGCCUGAUGCAGCGACGCCGCGUGGGGGAUGACGGCCUUCGGGUUGUAAACCCCUUUCACCAUCGACGAAGGUCCGGGUUUUCUCGGGCUGACGGUAGGUGGAGAAGAAGCACCGGCCAACUACGUG
rnacentral:rRNA from 1 species